GGCAUCAUCCAAAUGUCCCAGUGUCGGAAAGAAAUAAUUACCCGACUGAAGAACAGUGGGCUCAAACUCAACCCAGGCAAGAUGGAGAUGAAGCUGGGCAUCAGCAUCUGAACCCUGUAUGUAGGAUACAUACAAUGAAGAAGUUCUCAGUAGAAACAUCUUGAGAGGCAUGGCCUUGGGAACGUGUGAAAUGGAUGAACAUCAGACAGCUUAUUAUAGAGACAAGCAUGCUGCAUUCCCAAAGUGGGAUGACAGAACAAGUCAUGGUAUGUAUUGUAAUUUUAAUGCUA